rnacentral:rRNA from 1 species
GAUGAACGCUGGCGGCAUGCCUAAGACAUGCAAGUCGAACGAGAUGGCCCAGUGAAGGUUGAGUGCUUGCACGAGACUGAAUCUGGAUUCCCAUCUAGUGGCAGACGGGUGAGUAACACGUGGGUGACCUACCUUUUCGUUGGGGAUAACAGUUGGAAACGAUUGCUAAUACCGAAUAAAAUGUAAGAGUCAAUUUUACAUUGAAAGGAGCCUUUAAAGCUUCGCGAUUAGAUGGGCCUGCGGCGUAUUAACUAGUUGGUGAGGUAAUGGCUUACCAAGGUGACGAUGCGUAGCCGAACUGAGAGGUUGAUCGGCCACAUUGGGACUGAGACACGGCCCAAACUUCCGUAACGGGGAGAACAGCAGUUAGGAAUAUUCGU